UACGUAGGUGGCAAGCGUUGUCCGGAUUUACUGGGCGUAAAGAGCGCGCAGGCGGUCGUUCAAGUCGCGUGUGAAAGCCCCCGGCUCAACUGGGGAGGGUCACGCGAUACUGAUCGACUCGAAGGCAGGAGAGGGAAGUGGAAUUCCCGGUGUAGUGGUGAAAUGCGUAGAUAUCGGGAGGAACACCAGUGGCGAAGGCGACUUCCUGGCCUGUUCUUGACGCUGAGGCGCGAAAG
rnacentral:rRNA from 1 species